AUGGCCUGUGCCAUGGCGUUGCUGCAAGAGGAAGUGGCGGACGGGGCGUUUGGCACUCUGCCUCGGCCACCCGAUGCAACGCCAAAGCCGGGCGCACCGAUACCUCUUCCGUUGCCCUCGGCGCGCACGGUACCCGCGACCGAUCAUCGCGGCACUGACGCCUCCCGUGCCGAGGGGUCCAAACUGAAGACACUCCGGGAUUACAGGCGCGCUCGAGGCCUUUGCUUCAAGUGCAGCAAGAGGUGGGGGCACGAUCGCACAUGCCCCACUUCUGUGAAGCUACAUGUCGUCGAGGAGCUGCUCGACUUAUUCGGCCUCGACAACGCCAUCGACACGCAAGUCCCAACACCAUACCAGGCUGAUGACUCUGUCAUGGCCAUCUGCCUGUCGGCGGUCACAGGAGGGGUGUCACCGAAGGCGUUCCAGCUUCGAGCAUGGAUCCAAGGACACGAAGUUCUUCUCCCGGGGGACUCCGGCAGCUCCAAUUCGUUCGUCGACGAGUGUCUGGCUGCAACACUCACCGGCAUCCAACCUCUGCCAAGACCCGGCCGCGUCCGCGUCGCGGAUGGUAGCGAGCUCACCUGCUCCGCCUUCGUCCCCAACAUCUCCUGGUAUUCCGAAGGCCAGGAGUUCUUCACCGACUUGAAGGUGCUCGAGUUGGGUACCUACGAUGCCAUCUUGGGCAUGGACUGGCUCGAGGAGCACAGUCCCAUGGUCGUCGACUGGCGCGCUCGCUUCAUCGAGAUCCCUACACUAGCUGGCCCACUCCGCCUGGUCGGCCACGACGCAUCUGCAACAACCUACGAGUCCAUCAACACAAUUCAGCAGCAGGGGCUCUGCAGCCGGGGUGCCAUCUUGCAUGUGGUGCAUCUGUGCAUGGCCGCGCCUGCGCAGGCAGCUACAACUCCAAUUCCUGGUUGCAUCCAGCGCGUCCUUGAUGAGUUCCCAGAUGAUUUCAUUGAGCCAACAGGCCUUCCUCCCUGGCGUGCUUGCAAUCAUAGGAUACCUCUUAUCCCUGGAGCUCAGCCGGUGAACAUACGGUCGUAUCUUCAUAAACCAGAACACAAGAUGAAGAUCGAAACUCAAGUGGAAGAACUACUGAAAUCAGGGGUCAUCCAGCGAAGCACCAGCCCCUUUUCUUCACCGGUCAUUCUGGUCAAAAAGAAGGACGACACAUGGCGACUUUGUAUAGAUUACAUGCAGCUCAAUGCACUUACAGUAGUGCCCAAGUAUCCCGUGCCUAUCAUCGAAGAACUUUUGGACGAACUUCAUGGCGCAAAAUGGUUUUCCAAACUGGACCUCCGUGCGGGCUACCACCAAAUCCGUCUGGCACCUGGGGAGGAGUAUAAGACCGUGUUCCAAACGCACCAAGGACACUUUGAGUUCACAGUUGUGUCAUUCGGGCUUGCAGGUGCACCAGCCACUUUCUUGGGAGCUGUGACCACAACACUCAAACCAGUUAACCGCGUCUGCGUGGUGUCCUUCUUCGACAACAUCCUGGUUUUCAGCUUCUCACUGGAGGAACACGCUGAACAUCUGCCCAAGUGCUAG
rnacentral:rRNA from 1 species